rnacentral:rRNA from 1 species
AUUGAACGCUGGCAGGAGGCCUAACACAUGCAAGUCGAGCGGAGCGGCGGACGGGUGAGUAAUGCAUAGGAAGGUGCCUGGUAGUGGGGGAUAACGGCGGGAAAGGGGCGCUAAUACCGCAUACUAUCAGAUGAGCCGAGGACGGAUUAGCUAGUUGGUGGGGUAAAGGCCCACCAAGGCGACGAUCCGUAACUGGUCUGAGAGGAUGAUCAGUCACACUGGCACUGAGACACUGUCCAGACUCCUACGGGAGGCAGCAGUGGGGAAUUUUGGACAAUGGGCGAAAUCCUGAUCCAGCCAUGCCGCGUGUGUGACGAAGGUCUUCGGAUUGUAAAGCACUUUUAGUUGGGAGGCGUUACCAACAGAAUAAGCACCGGCUAACUUCGUGCCAGCAGCCGCGGUAAUAC